rnacentral:rRNA from 1 species
UACGUAGGGGGCUAGCGUUGUCCGGAUUUAUUGGGCGUAAAGGGCGCGUAGGCGGCGACUCUAGUCAGAUGUGAAAGUCCUGGGCUUAACCUGGGAACUGCAUCCGAUACUGGUCGGCUUGAAUCCGGGAGAGGGAUGCAGAAUUCCAGGUGUAGCGGUGAAAUGCGUAGAUAUCUGGAGGAAUACCGGUGGCGAAGGCGGCAUCCUGGACCGGCAUUGACGCUGAGGAGCGAAAGCUAGGGGAGCAAACGGG